AUUGAACGCUGGCGGCAGGCCUAACACAUGCAAGUCGAACGAGUGGCGGACGGGUGAGUAAUGUCUGGGAAACUGCCUGAUGGAGGGGGAUAACUCCUGGAAACGGUAGCUAAUACCGCAUACCAUCGGAUGUGCACAGAUGGGAUUAGCUAGUAGGGGGGGUAACGGCUCACCUAGGCGACGAUCCCUAGCUGGUCUGAGAGUCUGACCAGCAAACCUGGAACUGAGACAUGGUGCAGACUCCUACGGGAGGCAGCAGUGGGGAAUAUUGCACAAUGGGCGCAAGCCUGAUGCAGCAAUGCCGCGUGUAUGAAGAAGGCCUUCGGGUUGUAAAGUACUUUCAGCGGGGAGGCGUUACCCGCAGAAGAAGCACCGGCUAACUCCGUGCCAGCAGCCGCGGUAAUAC
rnacentral:rRNA from 1 species